rnacentral:tRNA from 1 species
GUCACCCAAGUAUGGAGAGUAUGUUUGACUUCCAAUCAAGAGGCCCAUCCGUUUGGGUGGGGGUGACA